GACGAACGCUGGCGGCGUGCCUAAUACAUGCAAGUCGAACGCUUCUUUCCUCCCGAGUGCUUGCCCUCAAUUGGAAAGAGGAGUGGCGGACGGGUGAGUAACACGUGGGUAACCUACCCAUCAGAGGGGGAUAACACUUGGAAACAGGUGCUAAUACCGCAUAACAGUUUAUGCCGCAUGGCAUAAGAGUGAAAGGCGCUUUCGGGUGUCGCUGAUGGAUGGACCCGCGGUGCAUUAGCUAGUUGGUGAGGUAACGGCUCACCAAGGCCACGAUGCAUAGCCGACCUGAGAGGGUGAUCGGCCACACUGGGACUGAGACACGGCCCAGACUCCUACGGGAGGCAGCAGUAGGGAAUCUUCGGCAAUGGACGAAAGUCUGACCGAGCAACGCCGCGUGAGUGAAGAAGGUUUUCGGAUCGUAAAACUCUGUUGUUAGAGAAGAAUAAGGACGUUAGUAACUGAACGUCCCCUGACGGUAUCUAACCAGAAAGCCACGGCUAACUACGUG
rnacentral:rRNA from 1 species